AGUGAACGCUGGCGGUAGACCUAACACAUGCAAGUCGAACGGCAGCACAGUAAGAGCUUGCUCUUACGGGUGGCGAGUGGCGGACGGGUGAGGAAUACAUCGGAAUCUACUUUUUCGUGGGGGAUAACGUAGGGAAACUUACGCUAAUACCGCAUACGACCUACGGGUGAAAGCAGGGGAUCUUCGGACCUUGCGCGAUUGAAUGAGCCGAUGUCGGAUUAGCUAGUUGGGGGGGUAAAGGCCCACCAAGGCGACGAUCCGUAGCUGGUCUGAGAGGGUGAACAGCCACACGGGAACUGAGACACGGUCCAGACUCCUACGGGAGGCAGCAGUGGGGAAUAUUGGACAAUGGGGGCAAGCCUGAUCCAGCCAUACCGCGGGGGUGAAGAAGGCCUUCGGGUUGUAAAGCCCUUUUGUUGGGAAAGAAAAGCAGCAGGUUAAUACCCCGCUGUUCUGACGGUACCCAAAGAAUAAGCACCGGCUAACUUCGUG
rnacentral:rRNA from 1 species